ACAUCCAUUUCAGACCUUGUUUGUGUUCCGCUUGCGCGCUGAUCUGUCUGGCGGAGCCUGAUCAGCGGCGGGUGAUGGCAGGGAGUAUAAUUCAGAGGGCAUUCGUGUGGGUGAUGAGCAGGCUGGAAACGGUUACAUGCAGUUACGCCGUCUCCUUGGACUGUGCUGCAAUCCUCAUUAUCCUGUAUUCCCUUCUGCUGAAGUACAGGAGGGACCAUAUCUCGUUCUUUCCAGCUCAGGACAUCCCCAGGGAGACGUUCUCGUGGUGCCGAAGGGCAGCGCGCCUGCUCUGUGCCAUCCGAGAAGGCGCUACGAGGGGAGGUGUAGCAGAGGAGAAGUCCCUGGCUGAAGGCACUACAGGACUUGUUGCAUGGAAUUGCGUUCGCUGGUGGUGUGCUCCGUUUUUCUACAAAUAUCACCAAGACUUUAGAAAAUAUUUGGGUGGUAACGGGGAAUAAAUUGGAAUUGGGGAUGUUGAGCAAGCUCUAGAGGAGUGGUAGGAUUUCAAUAUCAAAUUAUUUCAGCAUAUGGGGAAAAGAAAGAUUUGCAGGGCUGCGAAGAGCACGGGCUUGUGGUGGGAAGAACAGCCACGGCUUGAUGUGAAUGUUUUUUGCCAAGUAUCUCUUUGGGAUUGCAGAACCUGCUUAUAACCCUCCCAGAUAAAGCUCUAGCAAGAAUGAGGGGAAUGUCGGCUCUGUGCACAUGCGCUAGAAGUAUGAAGAGAUGAAAAGAAUGAGAAAGGGCUUAAGAGUGCAAGAAGGUGCUUCCCACAGCUUUCAAUAACGUGGGCUGAAGGGGGUCUAAAUAUCACCUAGCACUGAGCUCGCACAGGUUACGGCGGGCUGCGUGUGCUCAUGUGAGCCCAGCUCACAGUCUUUAUUGAGCAAGAAAUGUCUGUGCAAAUAUCACGAGGUUACUUUGGACUUAAAAACAAAAUCACAAACAGGGAGUUAAAACUGUACCAAAUAUCUGUUUUAGGAAUGAUUAUUUUUAUUCUCUUUCUAAAAAAGACAGGACCAUUUUUCUUGCCCUUUGAGCUGAACCCAAACAACUGCAGUCGCUGAUGAGCCUGAACCAGAACUGAGCUAUUUCCUGGCUCGCCUUCCUGUUUGCACGUAAUCUAAUUUUUAACCCAGGUCACAGAAUAGAGUUUUAAAGUUCGUGGAGUCAAGAUGGACACGAUAAGUAAGCUCUGGAGUAGGGAAACCUUUCUGGUCCUUGCAAAGGUUAGGAAUACGUUUAGCCGGGAAAUAGUUUUGGUAUCCUGAAGUUGGCUCUUAGAUGUCUGAACCCUCCAGCGCAGCUUUUAACAGAGCAAGUGACUAAUCAAGGGUUGAAAAAAGGCUGUGAACAAGCUGCCCUAGAGGGCUUCACCUCUUUGAACUGGGUGAAAAGGACCCGUAACCUUUGCGGUGCGACGAAAGGACGUUUCUUGAAAACAAUUUCUGGUCUCUGAGCUGUUCCUGUUGAAAGGCAGAGAUGAAUGUUGGCACAACAGCCCCCGUGAAACGUAGAUAUUACAGAUGCUGCGUAUUUAUUACCAGGUAACUUGGGUAAUACCCCUCCUGGAACCGGCCACGCUCACGGAAAUAAAGACUUCAUCUGCUGUCUGCGAGAGCUGCCACAUUUUCCUUUUCAUUUGGAGGAUGACAGGGGAGCUCAAUCAGAAAAGCAACAGCUUCCAAGGAAGUUGUUCAUUCAUUGCCUUUGCUAUAACAAUAUGCUCUGUGAAAUAAGGGCAGAUGUGUUUGUCACGGAGCAUACUUUGUUCAGCGGUUGAAUGAAAUUAGUUAAUAAGUGUGAGAACCCAGCAAACCCCUUUCCAGCUCAUUAUUGUUAACAUUUCAAUAUCUGUGCCUGUCUGGGUAAUAAAUAUAAUUGGUAACUUGA